rnacentral:rRNA from 1 species
UGCGUAGGCGGUUUUAUUAAGUCAGAUGUGAAAGCCCCGGGCUUAACCUGGGAACUGCAUUUGAUACUGGUAGACUAGAGUAUGGUAGAGGGGGUAGAAUUCCUAGUGUAGCGGUGAAAUGCGUAGAUAUUAGGAGGAAUACCAGUGGCGAAGGCGGCCCCCUGGACCAAUACUGACGCUGAGGUACGAAAGCGUGGGUAGCGAACA